GUUGCGUUCCCCAAACAAAUGUGUACAAAAGACUUGACAUCUUGCUGUAGGCUAUUGUCUCAUGUGAUAUUCAUUUGGAUGGACACAGAACACAUCCUGAUUAGGAUCUGAUCAAAUAAUGACGCAGGUGUCAUCUACAUCCCUCCUACGCCUCUUCCAGUUCAGACCUGAUAUAUGGUGUGCCUCCCCCUACUUCUCAGACAAGAAGCAUACCGCAGAAGAACCCACACAACCGUUCCAAUACGCACAGAGGGAGAACGGGAGCUGGGGGAGCUGGCUUGGCAGUGCUGUCUUGGCAGUGCUGUCUUUAGAGUUUUUGCUUCAAGUUAUCAGCUCUUUUUUUAAUGUAAUUUCUACAGGGAGAUAAUCUAAUCCUUCCAUGAUGAAACUUGUGCUUGUUUUUGCUUUGGUUGCGUCUUUCUUCGCAGAAAAUCUAUUACUUCCUGUUGGAAAAGAACGACAGAGAGAAGAUGUGGUAACACGGUGCUUGGUUGAGGUCAUGUCCAAGGCACUGACCAAACCUGACUCUCACCCUCUGGAUCAGGAAUGCAAAGACAUUCUCAAAGCAGGUGCCCAACAUGCUGCUCUUCUGGAGAAGAAAAGUGAUGAGGAGGUGCUGACCCAUAAAGAGGAGGUCAAAGGUCAUGAACCUGAGCUUGAGGUUCCAGGGGCUGAUGUGAAGGACAUCGAGGCCCGCCUGAAGUCUGUGGAGGAGAAGAGAGAGACACCGGAGGACGAAGAGCGCAGCCAGGAGUCAUGGGACCUCAACGAUGAGAAAGAGAAGAGGAUUUGGAAACCAACGCACAGGUAUCAUCAUAAAGAGGUGUCUGAGGAAAAGAGAGAAGAGCCAGACGAAGAACGUAGUCAGGAAUCCUGGAGCCUGGGUGAUGAGAAGGAGAAGAGAUAUAGGCCUACCUAUCGAUACACCCCAAAGACACACCACAAACGAGACGAAGACGGUUUAGAGGAGGAGAGAGAAGAGCCAGAAGAGGAACGCAGCCAAGAGUCCUGGAGCCUGGGCGAAGAGAAGGAGAAGAGAUAUAGGCCUACCUAUCGGUACACCCCAAAGAAAUUACACAAACGAGAUGACAAAAGUGAAAAGUGCAGUCAGGAGUCCUGGGAUCUGAAAGAUGAGAAGGAAAAGAGAGAGGAGGAAGAGGAAAGAGAGAAAAGAAUGUGGAAACCCCCACACAGAUAUCACCACAAGAAACACCACAAACGAGGUGCUGACUCAUCAGAGGAGGAAUCAGAGGAAAAGAGAUCAGAUGAGUCCGAAGAAGAGGAGGAUAGAGAGAAGAGAAUCUGGAAACCAACAAACAGGUACCAUCACAACAAGCGUCACCAACGCAGUGGGGAUUCCUCAGGGGAGGAAGAAGAGGAACGAAGGAGUGAUUCUGACGAACAGGAGGAGAAGAGGUACCUGGCGGAGAAGAGGAGUGAGGUGGAGAGUCGUCUCCUGGGGGAGAUAUAUGAGAAACGUUCUCCCUGGGCGUACAGAGGAUACUACCACCCCGCCUGGUGGAAGAGAGGCAUAGAGCCACUCACACCAUCACAUAAGAUGGAGGAACUGGCAAAGCUGCUGAAGAGGCACCAACUGGCCAGCCAAUCAGAGCCAGCGGAAGAGAGGCAGAAGAGCAUACCUCUAACCCCAGAGGAGGAGAAGGAGCUGCAAAACCUAGCAGCUAUGGACAUGGAGCUACAGAAAAUUGCUGAGAAGAUGCAUGAAAACAGGAGCAAAUAG
ensembl:lncRNA